GCGCAGCAGUCGCGAAUCUUCCACAAUGGACGAAAGUCUGAUGGAGCGACGCCGCGUGCGGGGAUGAAGGGCCUUAUGGGUUGUAAACCGCUGUCAGGGGGAAGAACAUCGGAAUGAACAAUACUCAUUCCGACUGGACGUUACCCCAGAGGGAAGCUCCGGCCAACUCCGUGCCAGCAGCCGGCGGUAAUACGGGGGAGCAAGCGUUGUCCGGAAUUAUUGGGGCGUAAAGGGCGUGUAGGCGGCGAGGGUAAGUCGAAGUGGUGAAAUCUCACGGCUCAACCGUGAAACUGCGUUCGAAACUACCCUGCUUGAGUACGGGAGA
rnacentral:rRNA from 1 species